GCCAACCUCCCGCCAAGGACUGGGCUGGGCCGGAGCGGGGAGAGGCGGAGCCAGAAAGGGAAGCCAGGAUCUUCAGUUAUGGGAGUCUUCCCAGUGACUGUACCACUCCUGCCUGGGAAGCUUCCUCCAGCCCUGUCAAUCUGCAGUGUGUUGGACUUCAUGGGACAAGAUCACAGUCACACUCCUGCAACAUCUUCAAUUCUCUUUUUUCUUAUUCUUUAUUGGACUCACCUAGCACAACUCAGCCAUUGCUGAGAGGGACUAUGGCCUUCUCAUCGUCUAUUCCUGAUUAAUAAAGUUUUCCUGUCUUGUGUUAAAUUCA